rnacentral:lncRNA from 1 species
UGAAAACUCUUAUUCUUUCAAACUGCUUAAGACUGAAGAAGCUUCCAGAGAUACGGGAAAAUAUGGAGAGUUUGAAAGAGCUUUUUCUAGAUGACACUGGUCUAAGAGAGCUACCUUCAUCAAUUGAGCAUCUAAAUGAGCUUGUUUUGUUGCAGAUGAAAAAUUGUAAAAAACUUGCAAGUCUUCCAGAAAGCAUUUUUAAGUUGAAGUCCCUGAAAACUCUUACUAUUUCAAACUGCUUAAGACUGAAGAAGCUUCCAGAGAUACGGGAAAAUAUGGAGAGUUUGAAAGAGCUUUUUCUAGAUGACACUGGUCUAAGAGAGCUACCUUCAUCAAUCGAGCAUCUAAAUGGGCUUGUUUUGUUGAAGCUGAAAAAUUGUAAAAAACUUGCAAGUCUUCCAGAAAGCAUUUGUAAGCUGACGUCUCUUCAGACUCUUACUCUAUCUGGUUGUUCAGAACUGAAGAAAUUGCCAGAUGACAUGGGGAGCCUACAAUGUUUAGUAAAGCUCGAAUCAAAUGGAAGUGGUAUACAGGAGGUACCCACCUCUAUUACUCUUUUGACAAACCUUCAAGUAUUAUCAUUAACAGGAUGUAAGGGAGGGGAAUCUAAGUCAAGGAAUCUGGCUUUAUCUUUGCGCUCAUCACCAACAGAAGGAUUCCGGCUGUCUUCUUUGACGGCUUUAUACUCCUUGAAAGAGUUGAAUUUAAGUGACUGCAACCUACUGGAAGGAGCACUACCCAGUGAUCUUAGUUCCUUAUCUUGGUUGGAGCGUUUAGAUCUGAGUAUAAACAGUUUCAUCACCGUGCCUAGCCUCAGUCGACUUCCUCAACUCGAAAGGCUCAUACUGGAACACUGCAAGAGUCUUCAAUCAUUGCCAGAGCUUCCAUCAAGUAUUAUAGAAUUAUUGGCCAACGAUUGCACAUCCCUGGAAAACAUUUCAUAUCUAUCAAGUGGAUUUGUAUUGAGGAAGUUCUGUGAUUUCAACUUCGAAUUUUGUAAUUGCUUCCGACUAAUGGAGAAUGAGCAGAGUGACACUUUGGAAGCUAUCCUACUCGCAAUUCGGCGUUUUGCAUCAGUAACGAAAUUUAUGGAUCCAAUGGAUUAUUCUUCGCUUCGCACAGUAUGUUAUUAUUUGUUUGCGUAUGCUAAGAAUUCUUAGAACAUAAUUUAAUGUCGUGUUAAAUAAUUGAGACAAUCCCACAAAUAAUCUUGGAAUACUAAUCCUAGAAUAUUAUUUCUCUACAUGCAUGCCGCUAACUUUUUCAUGAUUCAGUUUGCUUCAAGGAUUCCGUAUGAUGCUGUUGUUCCUGGGAGUAGCAUUCCAGAGUGGUUCACCGAUCAGAGCGUGGGGUGUUCAGUAACUGUAGAGCUGCCUCCGCAUUGGUAUACUACCAGGUUGAUAGGAUUGGCUGUUUGUGCUGUUUUCCACCCAAACAUCAGCAAGGGUAAGUUCGGCCGUUCUGCAUACUUUAGUAUGAAUGAAUCUGUCGGCUUCUCUAUCGACAACACGGCUUCCAUGCAUUUUUCAAAAGCUGAGCACAUCUGGUUUGGGUAUCGAUCCCUUUUUGGAGUGGUUUUCAGCCGGAGCAUCGAUCACCUGGAGGUUUCAUUUUCUGAAUCCAUUCGUGCCGGCGAAGUGGUGAAAAAGUGUGGGGUUCGUCUGAUCUUUGAGCAAGAUCUUCCAUUUGGCCGGGAGGAGAUGAACCAUGUGAGCUUGAGGAAAUCUGGUCCAAAUUUUUUCAUUCCUUAAUUUAUUAAAAUAAACAUAUUAAAGCAAUAAUUUUUGUAAUUGCUGAAAUGUUAUGCUACAUAUUUUUAACCAUUAAAUAUCUUGGUAAAGUUGUUUUAAGUGAAUACGUACCUUUUUCAUAAUCAAUGAUUCUAAUGAAUAAAAACUUAUUAAUUUAUUUUAUAAACUACUCUUAAAUGUUAUAUUUUAAUUAUUUUUAGUUAAAUACAUACAAAUUCUAAUAAAAACAUGUUUUUUCAUUUUUUUUAAAAUGUAGAAAAAAUAAUACUUUCUUUUGAUUUACUUUAUUGAAGAGUCCACCAAAAGUCUUUAGUGAAACAUAAAAAGAAUUCAUUUUAAGUUGAAUCAUUUCAUUCAAUUUAAUGAAAAAUACGUUAAUUUCUUCAGAUAUCUCAACAUGAAGAAAGUGAAGGAAGUUAUUAUAGGUGGAGACUCAGAUAUCCGAGGUAAUCACUUGCUUUUAAUAUGUUUUUAGGUCUUUUUACUACUCCAUUAGAUUAAGAUAUGAACAAAAUUUUGAUUUCCUCUUUCAUUUAAACUGUUUUGAACUAUUUCUUUUUCUUCUUUAGUGUGAACAUUGUCCAUGAUCAUUUCUUGAAGUAUAUUCAAGAUUUGAUGCUCACCUACUCCAUCUAUGUUCUAUUCAUAGAUGUCAUCACCAUCAUACUUUGAUUAGAUGAUUUGAUUCCUUUCUUCAUAUUAAAGAUCAGGAGGUGUUGGUCUAGGGUAAUAAUUUCUAGUUUUGUUUUGUUGUUUGAAUUGAUGGUUUAUUCUAUUUAUUUGAGGGUCUUGAUCCUUAAAUAUGGAUUUCAACCUAUCAAUAUUUAAAUUUGAAGUUUCUGUUAUAACAUUUACAACUUUUGUAUUUGUAGAGGAAGGUUUGAAGGAGAGGUCUAGUUGUUCUAACCGAUUUGUUAAUCUAUUGAUUAAUUCAUUGUUCGAUUUUGAAAAUUUGAUUGGUUCACUUCCUACUUCCGCAAGUUUGAAAAUCAUACGAUUUUUGUCUAAUUUUUGUUUGGAAAUUGGGGAAGAGUGAUUAAAGGAUUAUUUGGAAGUUCUAAGUUGUUUUCUAUUCUAUCUAAUUGAGAAGAGAGAGUACCUAACAUUUGAUUAGUAAAUUUAUUUUUUUGUUGAAGGUUUUUACAGUAUUUUAAGGUUACUGUUCUUCCUUCAUUAUCCUUUAAUCCUAUUAUUUUGAAAGGUGAAGCGAUGAUUUCAAUAUUUCGAGUUUUUAUGGUUAUUUCCUCUAAAGGAGGAUGAUUCGAAAUAACAAUUUUGCAUGACGUAGUUUUCCAAGGUUGGUUAUCUAGAAAAUAUAUAAUAUUAGUGAAUUGAAUUUUUUAAUUUUCAUUUUUAAAACCAAAUUUUAAUUGACUCCAUUCUAAUUUAUUUAUAGUUUUCUUUAUUUCAAUAAUGAUUUUGAAUUCAAUAAAUAACAUAUCAUUUUAUUUCAUUUUGAUGAUCAUUGUGGACUAAUAUUUUUUCAAUUAUUUUAUGUGAUUAAAUUCAUAUUUGUAUUAAUUGAACAUAUUUUGUGUGCUAAGUUGUGCCUUUUUGUCUUAACUAAAUAAAAAACUUGAAAGAAAUUAAAGAAUUAUCUAGAGGUUGACGAGAGUUUAGUUUUAAUAGAUAUAUUAUGCUAGAGUAACAGAGUUGGACACACAAGAACCAAUAAAAAAAACUAGAAAAAAAAUGAGAAAAUUAGGAAGAGAUGUAAUAAAAUGAAUAUAUAUAUAUAGGGAUUAAAAUGGAUUAAAAUAUUAUUUUGUAUAUUAAAAGAUUAAAAUAUAUUUUAUUUUGUAUAGGGAGACUAUUUACCAUUUUUUUUAGUAUAAUAACCAAAAUAGUCGUGUGAGUGCUGUUAGACGCAGUUGGUCUGUUGAUUUAAAGCCCCGCACGAGUAGUCGCCAAACAUGGUGGUUUAGCUACGCCCAAAAUUCUACCGCGUGCAAAGAAUUGGAUGGAGGCAAAAGUUAGUGGGAAAGUUGGCAUUAAGGUAUGUAGUGGCAGUCUAUAAAUAAUAUUAUGGACACGGUGGUAUUUUUUAGAAACGAGUAGGGCCCAACCGCCACUACAAGGAAAAAGGUAUAUGGUGACAUUUAUAACGAGUCACCAUAAACAUAGGGUGUCACUACAACAUAAUGUCACCUUCUCCACUGACACCAUAGAGGGUACCAAUUGGUGACGUACUUGGAAGUGACACCAAAGUAGAUAAAUGGUGACCCAUUCGGAAGUGACACCAUAUAUUUCUAGUGAUGAUAGGGUGUCACAUUAAAUACAUCAUCUUUGAGUUAUGAUGUCACAUUAAAUGCAUCACCUUUGAGUUAUGGUAUCACAUCAUUGUAAAUUAUUGUGGAAGAUAUGAUUGGUUUUAGUUGUUGAUUUUUGUAAUGCUUAUGAAUUAAUAAGAUUAAUCUGUUUAUAUUUUGUCCAUAAAUAUAACAAUCAUAUUAUAUUUAACUCAUUUUUCUGUAAUGUUUCUGGAAUAACUCAUAAUACAUUAAUCAUCUAAUGAUAUUUGUAUAUCAAAUGUUCACAAAAGGAUAGUACGUCCAACAUAUCAAACCCAUUAAAACUAAAAAAGAAGGGUGAAUACAUACCAAAACAUGAUUCAGAAAUGUUAAAGAUCCCAAGAUUCAUGUAUACCUCCAUUUCAUAAGCAUAAAACCGGCUAACCAUAAAAUGACAUAAAAGUCCCAUCUAAAAAUCUAAACUUCUCAGUUGCAAUUAAAGUAACGUUUAUGUCCUAUAACGUAUGACAUAAGAGUUGCAUUUAAAAACCCAAAAUCUUGUUGCCUUCUUCUUCUUUUUUAUUCUCCAUUUCACCCUCCCAAGAGUGUAUACCUGCAUUUCAAAAUUUAAUGAGUUUUAGAGAUUUUUAUUGAAGAAAAUAAACAUGGAUCGAUGUUAUCAUAAAUGAACAAAUCUAAGAACUAUUUUUUUUUUUCAAAUAGAAACAUUAUCCAAAGAAUAAGCAUUACUAUACAAUACCUAUGGAAAAAUUCAUGUAGUAGCUAAGGGACUCACCAUGCAUGGUGAUCAUGAUGCAUCAACAUGAUUCAUGAUUAGUUGUAGCACAAAAGUAGCCCAUUCUCCUCUAAUUUCAUCGAAUUCUACUUGAGAAUAUGUUUUUUUUUAUCACCAAACUGAAAUCAAAUAAGAAAAUAACAUUAAAAUGCAUAACAUUUGAAGGCCUAAAACUAUGUACAAUUCAUUAAAUAAGUAAUACCUUUGAAGCAAUAAUUGUAGGAUAAAAAAAUUAUCUUUUUAGUGAAUCUCAUAACAAAGUAGUCACAUUCGAACCCUCCUUCUUCUCUUGGACACUAAUCGAUCAAUUAUAAAAUAACAUUAGUACUCACAUAUAUAAAUGGUGCAAAUGCAUAAGCUAAUGUGUAAAGAAAAUUUUUUGGAUGUCACCUGCACUAGUUGCUAAGAUGGCUCCCUCUUAGAUGUUUUCUUUGCAAAUAUUCGAAGAGCCCUAUGUAAAUAAGUUCAAUGGGUACAUUUUUAAAAUAGGUAAAUGUUAUAUGUUUUAAUAUAUAUAUAUAAAUAAUAAAAAAAAUGUGUUUGAGGUGAAUGUAUUUUUUUAUUUAAAAAUAAUACUAUGAAAAAUAAUAGGAAGAACUUACAUGUUUACGAUGUCAUUUAAGUCCUCACAUGGUUUGUGAUGCAUAGGGUCAAGAUAAUGGACUAUCAUUUUCCUUGGCUCAAGCACUACCUAAAUAUAAACCCUCUAAGUCCUCAUAUCUAUUUCUAUUAACAAAAUAUAAAAACUUUCCAAAACUCAACUACUUAAAUAUAAAAACAAAAUCAAAUAAAAUAUCUAGCUAAUUGGAUUUUAGAAACUAAAUAAACUAUAAAUAAACUAAAUAUAAAAACUAAAUAAAAUAUCUAUGCCCAUGAAUUAAUUGAAUAGGAUAGAAAGACAUAGAGAGAACAUGGUUAUGGUUAUGAUUUCCAUCUUAUCAUCUCCCGUCAAUACCACACAUGCCCAUUUUAAGGUUGGACACUACUUUUGUUGCUAGACUUGGAAAGGGAACUUCAAAAUUGAAAACAUAAAUAAACCCUUAUGUAAAAAAAAAUAACAUUAAAAUAUAAUUGAGCAUUAAAAUAUUUACUCUCUUUCAUCACUUUCAUUUGAAUAUUAAUAAUCUCUUAUUGAGAUAGAUACUUACAAUUUAACAAAAUAGAAUUUCCUAAUAAUAAAAAAUAUAAAAAUUUCUAUUUCUAUUAACAAAAUAUAAAAACUUUCCAAAACUCAACUACUUAAAUAUAAAAACAAAAUCAAAUAAAAUAUCUAGCUAAUUGGAUUUUAGAAACUAAAUAAACUAUAAAUAAAUUAAAUAUAAAAACUAAAUAAAAUAUCUAUGCCCAUGAAUUAAUUGAAGAGGAUAGAAAGACACAGAGAGAACAUGGCUAUGGUUAUGAUUUCCAUCUUAUCAUCUCCCGUCAAUACCACACAUGCCUUCCCGGAUUGGUCCUUUUGGGGUUGGAUACUCUCAACGAAAUUCUAUAUCUCAUUCCCACUUAGAUACAAACAGAAAAAUCAUUCUUUUUUUUUUCCUCUCUCGUUUUUUAGAAAGGAUGAAGAUUAUGUGAUAAUAAAUCUAAAAAAAAUUAUGUACCUGUCAUUCUCACACAAAUACAUAUUAAAAAUCAUUCAUUUUUUCCUGUUUUUCACUUUUUUUAAGGACUUGAUCAUGUGUUUGGUUUAGAUGAAAAAAUCAAUUAAUCUACAGUUUUUUCUUCUAUGCUAGAAGAUUAAACCUAAAUUUUUUUUCCCUACAACUCAAGAAAACACAAUCCACAAAAACCAUAAUACAAAGAUGUUGAAACAAUUAAUAUAAUGACAUUAAUAAAAGAAAAAAAAAAUGACAGAUCCAAGAGAUUUUGGGUUACUUGGGAGUCCACAAAGUGAAGAAUGUCCGUUGUGAGCGUGUUGACUAUGGAUGGGUGAGAAAAAAGGUUGAAGAAGAUCAUGAUUUUAUAUAUAGGAUUUAUAUAUUGAGAUUUUUUGGAUUGUGGGUGAGAUAUGGAAACAAUGGGAUUUUUAUAUAGUAUCCAUCAUUAUUAAUUCUAAAAGUGGGCUCAUUAAGUUAUAAUACCUAAAAAAAUUUAUUUUAUAUGAUGUCACUUCCCAAAAAAUGACACUAUAAAUAUAAAAUUAAUAUCAUCUAACUACCUCAAUUGAAGAUUUUUUAUAUGAUGUGUCACCUUUAUUAAUUAUAAACCCUAUGGUGUCAUUAUUUUAAAAGUGACACCGUAAAUAGUGACACCAUAAACUAUUUUUGUAGUAGUGCGCUCUCAUACAUAUCUCAUAAAUAAUUAUUAUGUUCAUCUUCUUACACCCUUCCUUUACUCCUAGCCUCAGAUUCUCUGCUUUCGCACCAAGUCCAUCUUCUCUCUCCCAUUUCACUCCCUUGAAGUCGAUUUCUCUAUCAUUUUUCACUGUGUGAAGAAGUGGUUUCUCUUUGUAAGAUGCAUUUUCUCUUGCCUUUUGAUUUCUCUAACAAUUUCAAGAACUAAUCUCACUCUGGAAACUUUCUAUGGGCAUAACUUCUCUCGGUGCAUGAAGAUUACUGAUGUUGGAGCGCUACACAAAUACUCCAGUCAUAAAUCUUCAUACUCUUAUUUCAUGGAAGCACCGAUAAGUCUGUCUUUUUAAGCACAAGAUCUCUAAUAACUAAAAGUUUGAUAGAUGUUGUUCGAUUGCUCUAUGUUCAGGGGCUUGCAAAUGCUUUUGUUUCUACUUGGAUCAGAAAUCACUGAUGCAUCUGUUGCUGCAAAUGCGUCAAGCUAUUCAAAUUGAGAAUUGCUUGGAUUUGAGCAGGUAUGCUUUAGUCCCUAGUCUUGAUUGUUGCUGAGGAUUUAUGAGACAAUCAAUUAUUCUUGAAAGCUACUUGCUUGGGUAACUUGCUAAGGUUCUGUUAGUCUUCAGAUUAAGGCAGUGUGAAUGCUUCUCACCUAAUUAUGUUAUCACCCUUCUUGAUUCUAGAUGAUUUGCAGCUACCUCAACAUUUUAUUCAUUGAGUGAGGUAGUUGGCAAAGCUCUUUUUAAGAGAAAAAGAUUAUUCAUACUCUGGUAACAUCUAUUAAAACAGAAAAAGGUCUGUGAGGGUAGGUUUUCUAAUGGAAACAUUUGUAAGCUGACGACUCUUCACUCUUAUACUCUCUCUAGUUGCUCAGAACUGAAGAAAUGGCCAGAUGACAUGGGGAGCCCACAAUGAUUAGUAAAGGUCGAAGCAAAUGGAAGUGGUAUACAAGAGGUACCCACCUCUAUUACUCUUUUGACAAAGUUUCAAGUAUCAGCAUUAGCAGGAUGCAAGGCAGGGGAAUCCGUGUCAAGGAAUCUGGUUUUAUCUUUGCGCUCAUCACCAACAGAGGGAUUGGGUCUAUGCUACUUGAAAAUGCUGAAUUUAAGUGACUGCAACCUAUUGGAAGGAGCCUACCCAGUGAUCUUGGCUCCUUGUCUUCAUUGGAACGAUUAGAUCUGAGCAGAAACGGUUUCAUUACCGUGCCUGGUAGCCUCAAAAGGCUCAUAGUGGAACAACACUGCAAGAGUCUUCAAUCAUUGCCAGAGCCUCCAUCAAGUAUUCAAGAUUUAUGGGCCACACAUCCCUGGAAACCUUUUCAUAUCCAUCAAGUGCAUAUGCAUUGAACGAGCAGAGCGACACUGUGGAAGCUAUUCUACGGGGAAUUCGGCUUGUUGCAUCAAUACAGAAAUCCAGAGCUCCAAAUGAGCAUUCUGCCUUUCCCUGGAUGUUCUAUUAUUAAAUGUUCGCGUGUGCUAAGAAUUCUUAAAACAUAUUUUAAUAUGGUGUUAAAUAAUUGACGCAAUCCCACAAAAUAAUCUUGGAAUACUAAUCCUAGAAUAUUAUUUCUCGACAUGCCUCCAACCUUUUCAUGAUUCCUGGUAACCCUGGUCUAUCUACUUAGUAUAACAUUGUUGCUUAUGGAAGUACCAUUCCAGAGUGGUUCAUCCAUCAGGGGGUGGGGUGUUCAGUGACUGUAGAGCUGCCCCCACAUUGGUAUAAUACCAAGUUGAUGGGAUUGGCUGUUUGAGCUAUUUUCAACGCAAACAUUACCAUGGGUGAGUUGGCCGAGUUUUUAUGUUUUAGUGUGAAUGAAUCUGGCAGCUUCUAUAUCGACGACGGGGCUUCCAUGCAUUUUUCAAAAGCUGCCCACAUCUGGUUUGGUUAUCGACCGCUUGCUGACCUCUUUUGGGGUUCUGGUGGUCCGUUUAGAAACCAGAGCAACACUUUGAAGGUUUCAUUUUCUCUUGAGAAAGUGGGGUUCGUGUAGUAUCUGAGCAAGACGAUAAAUAUGGGGAAUGGAUCUUUCCUUUUGGCACCCUGUGGCCGGGAGAAGGAGAUGAACCAUCUUUUUCAAUAGGCCUCGAUAUCCUGUACUCCCCAUAUAAGCUUCAGGAAAUCUGGUCCUGAUUUUUUCAUUCCUCAAUUUGUUAAAAUAAAUAUACUAUAAUAUUAAAGCAAUAUUUUUUCUAAUAGCUCAUAUGUAAUGAUACUUAUUUUUAACCAUUGAAUAUCAUGGUAAAGUUGUUUUAAGUGAAUACCUUCUUCUAUAAUCAAUGAUUCUAAUGAAUAUAUAAAAACUUAUUAUUUAAUUUUAUAAACUACUCUUAAAUGUUAUGUUUUAAUUAUCUUUAGUUAAAUAUGUACAAAUUCUAAUAGAAACAUGUUUUUUUUUUUUAAUGUAGAAAAGAUAACAAUUUUUUUUGUUUACUUUAUUGAAGAGUCAACCAAAAGUUUUUAGUGAGCAAAAAAAAAAAAAAAAAAUCAAUUCAAGUUCGAUCAUUUCAUUCAAUUUAGUGAAAAGUACUUUAAUUUCUCCGGAUUCGAAUUAAAAGUUCAAAUAGAGUUGAUUGUAAGAUCAGUAAGCACAUGAGAUCGAAUUGUUGAAUAGUUUCACAUUGUAAUUAAAUAUUUGGUAUUGCUAGUCUUCCAAUGUUAACACUUCUAUAAAAUUAGAUUUUGAUUAUAAAGGUCAUAUUUAAUAGUAGAGAUAAGGAUGGUUUCACAAAAGUUUUCUCAUACCUCAUGGUUGAUUUACCGGUAGAAGUACGUGUUUCAAGUUAAAAGCUUUAUUUAUAACUUUUUAUUCCUUUUUUCUUUCAUAAAUCUAUAUCUUUUUUUGGAUGAAUAGUGUUUUUAUGGUAGAUUUUAUUUUUUAAAAUUCAAUUGGAGUGUCUUCUAAGAACUGUAAAUAGUAAAAUAUGAGAUUUUUCAUUUAUAAAUCCAAAUGCGAAAUAAAUGGAGGAUUGUUAUAUAUAAUAUGGAAUGUGUUUAAUUUAUUCAACAUUGAUAAUUAAAUUGGUUUCAACUUUUAGGAAAUUUUAUUAUGAGAUAAAUAAAUAAUAUUUAGAAGUAUUUACAUUAAUGCUAUGAUAUAUUUUUUAGAUAAUAAAUUCAUAUUAGCAUUGGUUUUAACUACUUUUGGUGGGUUAUAAACUUGUACAAAGUUGUGCAUGUUGAUGGUUGAUGUAUAUGGUGCAAAUUAUGUGUUUAUAUAUUUUAUGUUAAGAGCUCAUGUUGAAUGAAAGGAGCAAGAGUACCCUAAGAAAACUCCAAAUGAUGAUUAUAGUAUUGACUAAACCCACGUAAUAGUGACAUUCACUCCAAGCAUAGGGUGGUUGGUUGGUUGCAAGUAAUAAUUUAACCCAAUAAGUCAUGUGUCAAAUUAUAGGGACUAACUUCAAGGAUUGGAGAAUGUGUAAUAGAAGUUUGGGUACAAUGUGUAUAAUAAUAUGAUUCAAGCUUCAAAAUUCUAAUAUAGAGAUAUGAUAUGUAUAAUGUCAAUGCACCUUUAAAAUUAUAUGUAUAAUAAAUUUUGGGAAUCUCACAAGGACUCUUAUGAUUUGCUAGUUUUUCUGGAACGUGUAAAGAAUGUCAUUGGGCAGCUAACCUUAAUUUGUAAACCAGUUUGGUUAUUUACAUUAUACUAUGAUUUUUUGACUUAAAAAACUAUACAAGGCGAGGAGGUUCAUGCUCACAAAGAGGCCCCAUGUAUGGGACACUAGCAUUAUUCUUUUUAAACAUAAUAUUUUUUACAUUUCCAAUUAAUUAUUAACAUAUCGAGAGCCUACAUGUACUUUUUAAAGAUAAUAUGGUUUUGAUUCCAUUACUUAAGCAAGCGUACUUAUGUAGGUAAAAUUUGACUUAAAUUCAUGGAAUAUUUAUAACUUCGUAUUUUGACUCAUUAAUAUCUUCCUUUUUUUCUUCUUUCCUUUUCUUUUGAAGCCUUAAGCAUAUACUUAAGACAUUCUAAAAGAAGAACUCACAAGAGAACAAGAUCCCAUUGUCUAUAAGUGCAUAUCUUUAUGUCCCAUUGCUAAAUCAUCAUAAGGAACCACUAAUGUUGCUAGAACAAUUACUACGUGAGAUUUUAUUUUAUUUUUUAAAAAACAUUUAUUAUUAUUUAAAUGGUAUGCAUUGCACCUACAACUGAGUUAACCCAUAAUUUUUUCAAUUUGAUUUAUUAAGCUUUUUCAUUGAUAUACUCAAUGCUAAAACAUGCAAUUUUUCUCAAAAUCAAUAAUAUUUAUUUUCAAGUCUUAUUUGAAAGUUUAUUUCUUUUUUGAACAAUUAAUAUGCAAUCAUCCAAUAUUAAUAUAUUGAGUGAAACAAGUUUAUUUAAAAGUUGGUUUUAGCAAUUGAUUCAUUUCUAGAAAUAUCAAAAGGUUGCCUUCUUACUUUUGUUUUGCUCAUACCGAGGAAGAAACAAAUUCAAAAACAAACUCAUUUUAAGAACUUAAAACAUAAUAUUAUAUAAAAGAAAAUGCAACCUUAGGAAUAAACCAACAUGAAGCCAUGAGGUAUAGGCUAAGUUUGGUCUUGGCUUGGAUUGGUUACCACAUGCAUGGAUGGUAGCUAAAUAGCUAUACAAAUCUAAUAUUCCAAUAGUAAGAUAGUCCUAGUGUCCAAAUUAAAAGAGGUGUUUCUCCUUGAAAAUACAUCCAUUUAUUAAGGCAUUUAAGUCUUCAUUUUUUUUUAACUAUGAAGAUAAUGAAAUUUGGAUAGUAAGUCACAAUUGAAAGUUGGGAGAAACUUCCUUAGUAGAAAGUCCGUCAAACAUGGACACUUGCAUGAGAAGCCCUUUAUAUUCUUUCCUUCUUCUAGCUAGGUUAGCUAACAUCUAGAAAUAAAUAUUUAAAUUUAUAUUUCCAUUAGAUAAUGCUUCCAAUACUUUUCUAGCAAAAGCUUCACUAUCCAUCUCUAUGGUGCUUUAGUUUGAAUAACCAUCCAAACAUUUGUGAAUAACCAACUUUAGAGAAGAUGAAAUGAUCCAUUCUACGGACACUUAAUUGAAAGUAUUUACAUAUUAAUUUAUUUAGUUAUAAAAAUUAAGAAACUUACUAUUAAAUUCUUUGGAGCUAAACAACUUAAGAAAAUGCUAUGAUAUUCCCAUCAUUAAUUAAAAUUUAGACAAAUGUGCAAAGAAAACUACCAUAUAAAAUUUUUAACAUGAUGUUAAAAUAAAUUCUAGGAUAUGGUGGAAGCCAAAUUUAUAAAUCCUACACUAGCAAACAUUUAAUGAAUUAUUUACUAAAGUAACAUAAAAUAUUAAAUUAGAUAAAAAUAUUAAAAAUUUGAAUAAAGUAAUUGAUUUCACAGGAAGAAACAAUCAUGAGUUAUUCAGCCAAAUUAUUUUUCAUUAAUGAAAAACAAAUCAAGAUUUCAUUUUUUUACUAUAGGGAUUUAAUUUGUUACACCAUAUUUGUUGAAUUAGGUUGAAAAAAUAUCAUAAAAUAAAAAGAAAAAAGGAGUGAGAAAUAUUUUCAAUGUUGAUACCUUAUUGUUCACCAAUCUUAUAAUAUUUUGAAUGUAUAAUUUCUAAAAACUAACAUGAAAAUGAAAGAUUUAAAAAGUAAUAGUAAUUGGGAUGUUUUUGUGUAAAAAUGCUACCCUAAAUAUAUAAAUACCUUUUUUCUCAUUCCUCUCUCUCUCUCUCUCUCCCCUAGUUUCCUUUUUCUUUUUGACUUUUCAAUCUUGCUUUUAUCUUUUUUCUUUGUGGUGUGAGAAAAGACAAGAAAAUUUUAGUAUUUAUUUAUUUAUUUAUUUAUUUUUGUUUCAAAGUAGUUUUCAUAUGGAGUCAUAUAUAUCCCUCUUUUAUUUGACCUUCAUCUAAACCAAAAUUGGUAAAACAAACACCAAAAUUUUUCUUAAUUAAAAUACAUCAAAAUACUUGGAACAUUAAAUUCAACCAUAAUUUUUUUCUUGACAGAUAAACCAUUGCAUCUUAUUCAACAUCAUCAUUAUUUGCAUUACUCAUCCUCGAACUUAAGAGUGACAUUAUUGAGUUAUUGUACCCCAACAAUUUCUUUCAUAAGAACUUAAACUUGUUAUCCUUAUUUUUUAAUCGAAUUCUUAAAUCUAAUUUUGACCAUCUCAUUUAAAAAUCAAUCCUUGUAUAGCGUGGGUUAGUUAAGCCUUUUAAAAAAGGAGACAACUUAGCAUAUAACUAAGAGUUAAAAUCUAAUUUGUUAUGCAAGAUGGAUAGAUUAGAAUGAGAUGGUCAAGAAUGAAACUUCCUAUGAAAUUCGAUGUUACCAUUCUUUUGAUGAUUACACAUCACAAUACGUAGAAGUAGUAUUAUUGCACUCAAUGGUAUGUAGGCAUCACCUGCUUGGAUGUAAGCCAUAUAUUUACUUUUUUAACUCUAUUAUAGCUUUUCCUUAUAAAUUGUAAAUUUUAAAUAAAUUUCUCUUGCAAUUCAUUGUUAGAAAAUUGUCCUUAUAAAUAGUACAUUUAGAAUUUUAAUUAAAUAUGUCAAAAUAACAUAAAAUAUUAAAUUUUUUAUUUUUUUAGUAAUAAAAUUAAUUUUAUACUGGAAAAUUAAAUUUGAAAAAUAUUUUUAUUAAAACAUCUAAUUUCACUAUUUAAAAAAAAUAAAAUAAAUGUUAGCAUGUUUGAGUGCAUUAUGUUUCAAGGAAAUGGAAUUAAGGAAGAAGUUGAAAAAGGGAUAUAUUCAAAUUAAAGCCCAAAAAAGGGAAAAUGGGAGGAAAAAGUGAGAGAGAAAAGGAGGGACAAGUGGGAAAUAGGGUAGAGCCACUUUCAAUAACACUUUUUGGAUUGUGUAAACUUCCACUUUGUGGACCACCUUGGAUGAUAAUUUUUAGCCGUGUGGACCUAGUUUCAACAACAUUCUUUCAAUCUUGUGAACUCCAUUUUUUGGACCCACCUUAGACAACUUUUUUCAGUCAUGUGGACUCCAAUUUCAAGUUUCAAUAACACUUUUUCAGUCAUAUGGCUCAUUGACACGCAUCAACUCCACACUUAUCUCAUAAGUGUACUUGGUUUUUGGAAAUGUUUUUGCUAGUGAUAGUUCAAUUUGAACCAAAUCAGUAUAAUGUAUAAUUUAAUAUGGUUAAUACAAGCAUAAUUCAAUCUUAUUUUUCUAAAUUUAAAUUAAGCUCGAGUUAAUCAAUUUAGCAUUAGAAGACUAGGUUAAUAAGUGAAUUAAAUUUGAGUAGAAUAAAAUCAUGUAUGAUAUAAUAAAUAAAUAAAUUUCUUUAAUGAAUUCAAAGAUAGUAUAAAAUAAAUAUGGAUAUAAAUUAUAAAUAUUAUAAAAGUAUUAAAUCAAGUUUAUGUUAGGCUAGCUUAGAUCAUUCAAAUCUUGACUUAAAUUAAACUUGAAUUAAAUUCGGAGAGAAAAAUUUGAACUUAAGCCUAAUUCAUAUACUAAAAAUGAUUGGUUGAUCCUACUUUAAAAUUGGAUUGAAUUCAAUUUAGGUUAUACUAAUCCGUCCAAAUUGUAACCUUAUCACAUAUCAAUAUGGUGAAAAUAAUAAAAGAAAAAUUAUAGUGGUGCAAACACCUUUUUUCUUACCAGAAUUAAUUAUCACCAUAGCAUAAUGUAAUAUAAUUAUUUUUAUAGAAUUUAAAAUAUUUAUUUUAGAUUUUCAUUUCAGUUAAUAUCUAAACCCUAUUUUCUAAAAACUGUGAUAAAAACAAAAAUAAUGUUAUUCCACAACUUUUGCAACUCGCCUUUUAACUUCAUAUAUAAUUUUAUGUAACAAUUAUAUAUCUUCUUCAAAGUAUUGACACAUUAAUAUGAAAAAUUAGAAAAAAAAUAAUUUAUUUACAAUAAAUACUUUGGGGCUAAGCAACUAAGUAAGGCAAUCUAACAUCCUAUUGGUGAAUUUUCAUUGAGAUUAAAUGCUAAGAAAAGGAAAUGGAUUGUUGGUAGGUGGACCUAGCUUAGACUAUGCUUGUUAUAUAAGAGUUAUAUUAUACAUAGAAAUUUUUUUAUACUAUAUAUGCUUGUACAAUUGAAUUGAAAAGAAUCCAUUUUUCACUUACAUAACAUAACCUCAAAAAAAAAAAAAAAAAAAAAAAAAAAAAAAAAAAAAAAAAAAAAAAAAAAAAGAAAAAAGGCAACAACAACAACUAAAGGAAAAUGGAGAAAAAAGUGAAAGAAAAUGGAAAAUGCCAGUGGGAAAUGAAGGUUCCCAAGUGGACUCAGUUUGGACAACUCUUUUCGAUCGUGUGAUCCCCUUAGCCUUUUUAAUCAUGUGGACCCUAUUUUAAAUAUCAAUUUUUAACAAUGUGAACCCUACUUUCAACUUUUCCUUUCAUAUGUGCAGACACCACGUUCAACCUUCAUUUCCAUCUAUGUGGACCCCACAUUCUAAUAGAAAAAAAAUGAUAUUAUUCCACAAUUUUAAUUUGAAACUUGCCUUAAAUUUAGUGAUAAAUUCAUGUAAAAAAUCUAACAUCCUAAUAGUAAGUUAGGUGGUCCUAGUGUUCAAAUUAAAUGAGGUGCUUCUUCUUAUGGGAAAUACAUCCAUUUAUUGAGAUAGUGACCCUCUUCUCUUUUCCUUUUUAAAAUUGUGAAGGUAAUGAAACUUGGGUGAUGAGUCACAAUUGAAAGAUGGGAGAAACAUCCCUAGUACAAAGUGGGUCAAACAUGGAACUUGUAUAUGAAGCCUCUAUCCUCUUUCAUUCCUACUUCCAGCUUAGCUAGUCUUUAUAAAUAAAUUUUUAAAUUUAUAUUUUCAUGAUAUAGUCAAGCUUCCAUGACCAUUUCUAUGGAGCUUUUGUUUGAAGAAGAAUCCAAACAUUCGUGAAUGACCAACUUAGGAGAUGAUUUAACGACUCAUUCGAUCAAUGAACCAAACUUACCUUUUUAUUUACAAAUUUAUGUAAAACAUCUCUCCUCCUAGAAUUGACAGUAAUUUGAUAAGUUACAACAACAAAAAAAAGAAGAAAAAGAACUUACUAUUAAAUGCUUUGGAGCUAAGCAACAUGUAUUGGAUUCCUUUUUCUUUUUGACUUUUUUGCCAUUCCUAAGUUUCUGACGUGUCUCCCUGUGGUUUCCUUUUUCUUUUUGGGUUUGCAACCUUGCUCUUGUCUUCUUUUGUUUAUUUUUGCCUUGAUUUAGUUUGGACUUCAGCCACACCUACCAUCUUGAAGUUACGAUUCCCUGGAUUGAUCAUUCAAGUUACCCGUCUUCAAACCAUUCUUCUUCCAAAUUGCAAAUGGCUUCUUCUUCAACCAGUCUCUCCGUAGCUUCUUCCUCUUCCACCCAUCCAUGGAAGUAUGAAGUCUUCCUUAGUUUCAGAGGAGAAGACACCCGCAAAAGCUUUACUGAUCAUCUUCAUGAGGCGCUUUGUCGAUAUGGAAUCAACACUUUCAUAGAUGACCAACUCCGGAGAGGCGAACAAAUAUCUUCAGCACUCCUACAGGCAAUUGAAGAAUCAAGGCUUUCCAUCAUCAUUUUCUCAGAACACUAUGCUUCUUCAAGUUGGUGUUUGGAUGAACUUACAAAGAUUCUUGAAUGUGUCAAAGUUGGGGGACAUACAGCUUUUCCGGUUUUCUAUAAUGUGGAUCCCUCUCAUGUAAGAAAACAAACAGGCAGUUAUGGAGUCGCAUUUACAAAGCAUGAACAAGUUUACAGGGACAACAUGGAGAAAGUGCUCAAGUGGAGAGAAGCUCUGACUGUGGCAUCAGGACUUUCUGGAUGGGAUUCACGAGAUAGGUAAUUCUUCUAACUGGAUUUCUUUUGUUUUCUAUUUGGGUGUUGCUUUUUUAUUCUUCUUUUUCUUUUUCUAAGCUGGAUCUACUUAAAUUUCUUUCUGGGAAUUGAAGUAUGUAGUAAUCCAACUUUUCCUGUUGGUUUAUCAAAGAGAAAAAUGAUAAGGCGAGGAUGAGGUUUGGUUCUCCUUGAUCUCAAAAAUCACAAGAAGCAUAGGGUUGUUUUUCUCUUGGGAUUAAUGCUUGAACACUUCCUCAAACCCCAUUGGAUCAGUGGUUUUUCAACCUUUCCGAAGGCCCACUGGGAUACCCGACCCGGCCCAUUAAUUAAUUGGAUCACCAUAUAUGUUUUUUUUAUCAGCUUUGAAAAUCAAUCCUGGUGGCGUCAAAAUGCACCCAAUAGCUUUUCUAGUGUUCCUAACACAAGUUCUAAGAUGUUCUCUAUGCAGACUGCUCAAUUGGGAGUGGGUCAGACUGAAUAAUAGUAUCUUGGAUUAUAUAAUUUCACAAUACAUUAUUCCUAGCUUCAUGUCUCUUCUUUUAUUGGAUACUAUGUGCAUAUUAUUCCUAGCUUCAUGUCUCUUCUUUCAUUGGAUACCAUGUGUUGCCAUCCUAAUAGCAUGAUAGCAGUCAAUUUUAGCUUCGUCUUGUUGAGUUAUAUAUAUUUUGUUUGCCUCUUCUUUCUUUUUUCUUUUUUAUCUUUUUUUCAGUCGCAACCAAGAACAAAUCUAAGCACUUCUAUAUUUAUCUAUUUUUCUUGGUCCCCUAAUGACCUUAAAAAAAAUGACCAUACGAUUGUUCUCAAUUUGAAUUUUACAGACAUGAAUCCGAGAUUAUUAAGAAAAUUGUAUCCAAGAUCUUGAAUGAAUUGGUGGAUGCAUCCUCAAGCAACAUGGAGAAUCUAGUUGGAAUGGAUUCUCGUAUACAAGACUUGGUUUCAUUAUUAUGUAUUGGGUCAGAUGAUGUUCGGAUGGUAGGAAUUUGGGGUGUGGCUGGCAUAGGUAAGACUGCCAUUGCUAAAGUUGUUUAUCAGAAAAUUUGCACUCAAUUUGAAGGUUGUUGCUUUCUUUCAAAUGUUAGUGAAAAAACACAAAAAAGUGAUCUAGCCAAUAUACAAAUGGAACUCCUUUCACAAAUUUUGUGGGAAGGAAAUCUAAAUACAAGAAUUUUCAAUAGAGGAAUCAAUUUUAUAAAAAAGGCACUCCACUCCAUGAAGGCCCUUAUUGUUCUUGAUGAUGUGAAUCACCGACAACAAUUGGAGGCAUUAGCAGGAAAUCAUAAUUGGUUUGGUCGAGGAAGUCGAAUUAUCAUAACAACCAGAGAAAGACGUUUGCUAAUUGAGAAAGAAGUGGAUGCAACAUAUGAAGCUAAGGAAUUAGAUGAGGAUGAAGCUCUUAUGCUCUUUCGUCAGCAUGCCUUUAAACAUAAGCCUCCUAUAGAAGAUUUUGUUCAACUAUGUGACCGUGCCCUAAAUUAUACAAAAGGCAUUCCCUUAGCCCUUAAAAUCUUGGGUUGUUUUCUAUACAAUAGAAGCAAAAAAGAAUGGGAAAGUGAAUUGGAAAGACUCAAAAGAAUUCCAAACAAAGAGGUUCAAGAUGUGCUUAGAUAUAGUUUUGAUGGAUUAGAUGAUAAUCAAAAGGAGUAAGAGUUUGAUCAAUUCUAGCUUCAUCUUGUUGAGUUAAUUUUUGUACUCAACCAUUUUUUUUUUUAGUUUGCUUGCACAAAUAUGGGAAGGAAACUAUGUAUGCUUUAUAUUUGUUGUUUUUCUUUAUGGAUUAUAAAGUUCAUCAAAGUAGAUUUGUUCUAGCCCUUUUUGUCCUCUUUUUCUUUGACAGUCUUUACCAAAGUUGAAGUUCAUCAACCUUAGCCACUCUCAACAUCUAAUAAAAACUCCAAACUUCUUUGGAGCUCCAAAGCUUAAGAGAAUAAUUCUUGAAGGUUGUGCAAGUUUGGUUAAGGUUCACCCAUCCAUUAGAGAUCUUAAGAAGCUUAAGGCCUUGGGCGGUGUUUUUGAAAACUUGUUUUUAAAAUAAAGAACAAAAAACAAUUUUUUAAAAACAAGAGUGUUUGACAAGAUGUUUAAAAAAAAAUCGUUUGGAUGAAAGAAUUGGUAUUGUUUUUUAAAAACAUUGUCUUAUUUUUAAUUUAUAAAAAUUUUAUAAAUUUAAUUUAUAGUAAUAUGAAAUCAAAUUCAAGUUAAAUCUUAUUAAAAAAAAAUUACAAUUAUGUAUUCAUUAAAGAUAAAUAUUUUUUUCAUUAUGAAACAAUUUUUUUUUAUUCUAGUGAAACAAAAAUUACUAUAAGAUAAAAAUAAUUUUAAUAUUCAUUUUUAAUACAAGUCAAAUACAUACUUCAAUUGUUUUUUUUUCUAUUGACAAAAUAAAUAAAUAUUGAAUUAAAAGUAGCUAGCAAAAAAGUAAGCAAAAAAAGCAUAAAGAUGCAAAAAAAAGUAGUUCAAGUGAAUUACAAUAGUUGCAUAAUUUUUCUUACUCCUAAACAUUAAUAAAAUUAUUUAGCUAUAAAUUUUUACAAAUUAUUAACAUAAGCAUUCCACAUUUGUUGAAAAAUAUGAUUUCGAUAAGCUACCAUAGCUGCUACUUCAUUGAACAAAUUCAUUGUAUGACUUGUUUCACCCGUAGUAGUGUCUUCCUUAUCUCCAACUUCAAAAUCUUUUUCUUCCCAUUAUCUAAACAUUAUAUCUUGUUGAGUCCACAUACGAAUGAAAUUAUGAAUAUUACAAUAAGUUAUAACUAUUAAUGGUUGCCUACUUAGAUUAAAAUAUGACAUCAUUUUUAAAAUUGGAAAAUGUGCUUUAAACACACAAAAACAACGCUCAAUUCUAUUUCUAAGUGAGGAAUGCUAUAAUUGAAUAAUUCUUUGUAAGUCCUUGGUUGAUGACCUCAACCAUGAUAAUCUUGUAAAUGAUAUCUUUCAGCUUUUAAUGGAGGAAGAAAACUCAUAGUACAUGGGUAUCCAAAAUAAACCACGUGGUAUUCACCUAUUAAUAUAGCAAAGCAAAAGCAAAAUGAUAAUCAUAGAAUUAUAUAACUAAUUAAUAAAUUAGUAAUUUAAAUGGUUUUAUCAUUUACCUUUUUAAGCCAUGGAAAUUUGUUUUCAAGUCUUAUAAUUGCAUUAAGAAAAAUUCUUGAAUCAUUUGCAAUGCCUUCCUAACCUGCAUAAACAAAUGUAAACAUCAUAUCAAAAUUGUAUGCACAAAACAUUUUGAGUCACUACAACCUUUCUUCCUCUAUAGCUAACUUGUUUUUCAAUAGGAACAAAUGCACUUAUGUGUGUGCCAUCACUUGCACCAAUGCAUUUCUGUUAACAACAAAACAUGAUGAUUUUUAGUUUUGAUUAAAGCACUUAAAAUAUUUUAAAACUUAUAUUAAUAUAUAUGAAGUCUUCCCUAAAACCAUGGAUAAUACUUUAAGUUGUUGACAAUAUGAGAAGGCAAUGGAGAGCUAGUAUGACAAAUAAAAUCUUUUGCAAGUUUACAUAUUGCCCUCAAAGUUCAAGUGAAAUGUCCAUUCACAGUCUCAAAUGAAUGUUGAAAAUGAUCCACUAUAACUGUUAUUCCCACAUUAUGACCAAUAAUUAUUAGAAACAGAGCAAGUGCUUCUUCAACCAUGACUUCUCAAGAGUUUUUUAAAUGCUCAUUUUCUUUCAAAGAGGCAUAAAGAAGAAGAAGAAAUGUGAUUUCAUUGAUCAAAAAUAAUUCUUAACAUGUUCUUUCAUAGCUAUUCAAUAGCCCCAUCACAAAAUCUUCACCUCUCAAAAUGGAUGUCCUUUGAGGCAUCUUAUCCAAAAAUCUUUCAUCUUAUUCACAUACAUAGAGUAACAUUAUAUAAUCUUCAAAAUCUUCUAUACUAGAAGAAGACAAGGAAGAUGAACUAAUAACACAAUGGGAUUUAUGAUCCAUAUACAGGGUAAUCUUUUUAUCGUGCAUAUAAUAUCACCACACAUAGUAUCAUAUAUAAUAGUUUUAUUAAGUGAAUUAAUAACAAUAUUAUAAUCAAAAUAUCAAGAUAAAACCUAAACUAAGAUUAAAAAAAAACACAAGAAAAUAUUUUAUGUAUGUUUAUCAUGUAUCAAACACACAAGAUAAUGAUUUAGUACACAAUAGGAAAUAAAAAGCAUAAAAUAAACAACCAAUAAUUGAAAACAAAACCAUGAAUUAAGACUAUAUAUGUAAAAAUAAAACUAAAUAUAUUCCAAAUAUGUCAUAUAAAGUAAAUUCAUCCAACCAAUUAAAUCCAUAUGUAUCUAAACAACCAAAUAAAGCCCAAGUACAUCCUAUCUAAUAAAAAAAAAACCCACAAAUAACUACAAUCUCGCUAAUCGAGAUUUCUUUCUAUCGAUAGACAUAUGAACAAAAAUCUCUCUAACUUGGAUCCUUAAAAUUCUCCAUUGCUUUCAUUUAAGUAUCAUCAUCAAUUUGCUCAAUCUCUUCAGUGAGACACACAUAAUUAGUCAAGGAGAAAUCUAAAUUGAUAGUAAAAUUGUUUUUGCAUUUUUCUGUUUAGUUAAAGAAACUUAUGUUUUUACUUUAGCUACCUCAAUCCAUGCUUGAAGCACAUCACACAUCUGUUGUGAUCUAAUCUCUUUUUUAAUUUUGUGCUCAACACUUGUUAUUGUUCGUUUUUCAUGUUAACUUGUUGAUUCAUCAAAGAUAUUAAAGGGAUCACUAUGGUUAGUGCUAUUAGCAUCAAGACCAACAUGAGUUCUUAAGUGGAGAAAUUGCUUCUCCAAUUCUAUCUCAUCAUUCAUAUCAAGUGGAUCUUGAGUGGAUGCAACAUGAAGCACUCCAAUAGUAAUAGAUUUAUCAAAUAUGAGUCCCAAUAGCUUGUAAUGCUCACAUCCUCUAUUUCAAAAUUAUCAUGCUUUUAGACGAGUCUAACAAAAUAAAUAAAAAGUAUGAAUUUUGUAAACCCUCCAUUUUGUCCCUUUAGCACAUGUCUUUAAGUUCACUUCCGGUUCUUCACAGUACUUCCUUGAUGGCCCAUUACUACUCAUACUACUUACCUUUUUUUAGCCACCUUAUAGACUUUGGUUGAGGGAUUUAUCUAACCCCAUUGUGACUCUUAGUAGUCCUAAUUUAGACUUAGGCUUUUCCUUCCUUUUUAGGAUAGCUUUUAGGUGCACUUUUAAGAUAGCACACUUAGGCAUGCUUAGGUUACUUAGACAAUGUCCUGAUCACUUUAGGUCACUUAGGCAAUGUCCUAAACACCUUAGGCCCACUUAGGUACACUUGGCUCAUUAGGCACCACCUUAGGCCACUUAGGCACUUAGCUCAUUAGGCACCGCAUUAAGCCCACUACCUUAGGCCCAUCUAGGUUCACUUAGGCCCACUUAGGUUCACAUUGGCCCACUUAGGUUCACCUAAGCACACUUGGCCCAUUCCGUUCGCCCUAGCACACUAGGACACACCCUAGGUCACCUUUAGGCAUUUCUCCAUGGUUUGCAUGGUUUUCGUAUUUUUAUUUUUAUUUUUUAUGGUUACAUGGCUCGUAUGGCUUGCAUGUGGUUGAUUUUUAUUCUUUUUUUUAGCUACAUGAUUUAAAUUUCUUUUGAUUUUCAAUUUCAUGAUAUUUAUUGAUUUUAAUCUUUGUUUUGUUUUUAUUUUAUUUUAUCUUUUUUUUUUUUUAUUGUUAUUUUAUUUCUUGCAUGAGGAAACGAUUGCUAGAUUUUUGGAAAGAGGAUCACCAAGAUUUUUCACAAAGGAAAGUCCAAAGGCUGCAAAUGGGGUGCAAAUGUUAAGGAUAUUCACACACCAAAGGGAUUCUAGUUCUAGAAGGAAAAAUAUUUAGAGGGGAAGGUGGAAUUCUCCAGAUUCGUGGCUACCAUGUGAAGAAUUUUCUCCAAGAAAGGAAGGCAUGGUUGAAGCACAAGAAGAAGAGAUUCUUAAAAAAUACAACAAACAUAUCAUAUGGGAUUCAUGCACCAUUAAAGGAAGGAUAAGAGGUUAGUAAAAGUUCUUUCUUUAACAGAGAGGGUCCACAAUAGGGGAAAAAGGAAAGGAUUCUCUUUAUCCGAAUAAAAAGGGAGACUCACGGAUGGGAGAAGGUGGGAGGAAUUUCUCCACUGAUCAAAAGGACGGGCAGCAAUGGAUGAGAUGCGGCUUGGGUAGUGUGAAUAUGUUAGUAGAACGUUGAGGGUUGUAGGAGAGGAUUAGAGAUAGAGACACUAUGGCUUUGAGAAGAAAGGAUCAUCACAGACCAAAAAAGGGAACCAGAUGAGAGGAAGGAAAGAAGAGAAGCCCAUGAGUUCUUGAAUUCCAAAUAAGAGAGUCCCCAACAUCCUCUCGAGGCUUGAAAGGAAGAAGUGGCAAAUGGAAAUUUUGUGGAUGUAAAUUUGUUGGCUGGGAUCGAGUAUUCUCAAGUGGGAAGUAAGAUGGUUUCGACUUCUGAUGAAAAAGAUGCACGUUGUAGCACUACUGGAUAAGAGCCUUUUGAGGCAAUUGAUCCAUCUUUGCCGAUGAUGGAGAUUUCUAAUGUAGUGAGCUAGAAUGAACCUCAAGCAAUGAUCACUGACAAAGACAAUCAAGAGUCUAAGAAGUUGGAAUUCUGCCCUGUUCUCUAAUUCUACAGUGAAAGAGAAUGUUGGUACUGUAGCAUGAUGCUGCAGGUGAAGAUGCAUUGAGGGGUUGGCUAGUUGCUGCAUAUGCUACAAACCUGGAGAAAAUUGGUCAUGAGCCAAGUAUGACUAUCUUGUAAUAGUCUUACGAUAAGAUGAAUAGUGUUUUCUCUACCUUUUUAACCCAAAUGCAGGCCAAAGGUUGGCAUACAGAUUGUUUUCUUGAUGGAAUAAGAAACCGUUUUGCCAGUUAGUAUUUUGCAGUUUCAGAUGGAGCAGAUAUUUGUUGUUGGUCUGGUAGCUAGUGUGUUGGAUGAAAAUAUAAUUUGAUGUUGGUAAUGGGAAGGAGGCUACUCCAUAUGAUUUGCAUCUCAUGAAAGAGCCACGUGAGAUCCCCCGCAUGGUGGAGAUCUGUUAUUGAAAUCGGUGGGCUCUCUAUUCUUAAACACCCCAGGUUACUAAGUCUAAUACAGGAUAAACUAUUUUGUAAUCUGAUCCAGUUUGGCUUGUCAAUGAGACCACUAAUUCUUUCUAUGUUUUGUAUCAUUGUUCUCAAUCUGUAUCAGCAUUUGUGGACUGAGCUUAAACUACAACUUAAGGCUUUCUUUUCCUUUGUGAUCUUGUGACUUGCUCAAAGCAGAUAUGAUGCUUAUCCCAACAGAAAAUAGUUACUAUGGAGGCUUUAGUUGACUUUUGCAAGCAUAAAACUUUCAUGAUAGAGAUGUAUGCUAACUUGGGCGGUGACAUAACUUGAAGCAAUGUGUUUGAAGACUCUGCUAAUUUGUUGUCAAAAAAAUGCAUUUCUUGUGAACUACCCUUUGUCUACUAUGCAUCUUCUUGCUUUGAAUGUCUUGAUUGUUGUAAUUCAGGGAUGACCAAACUCUGAUUGUACUUUAGAAAGAUUGAAGGUUGUUCUAUUAUUAUCUAAACUUCCAUUGGAAACAGUUGGGGAAUCAUUAAAUAUGGAGCAGUUAUUUGAUGCAGUAAAUGUUAUCCUUCCAUUACUGAAUGCAAAUGGUGGUUUUGCAAUAGAUGAACUCAAUUGAUGCACCUAGAUGGGAGCUACUGCUAUGCUUCUAGUGGAAAAGUCUAAAAAAUUCUUGGAUGUUGGAAGUAGUUUAUCAUAGUAAAGAAGUCUCCACCAAUUCAACCUUCUUCACCAUGAAAGCUCAGUUCUCUUCGACCAGACCCGUUUUCUGAGGUUGGCUUCUGCACGUGGGUUUCAAAUGGUUUGGGUUGUUGAAUGGAGGAGACGUAUUUAGUACAAAUAAAUCACAAUGGAGAUGGUACUGAAGAUGCAUCUAAUGCAUAGUCACUGUCUUUAGAGUCUACUGGUAUAUGUGAUGCCUUUGGAAAUCCAGAGGUACUUCCUCAAAUUAGAGAUCAAUACCAAGUUGACUUUCCAACUCUUAUUACAGAAUCUGAUUAUCUUUAGCUUACAAUACCCAACUGAUGCUGCAACAAUGGUUGACACUCCUCACUAUUUUUUAUUGGGAUUGCCCAUACCAAUUAUGUGGGUCACUGAUGAAAUUGAGAACAUUGAACAUGAACCUCUGGAACUUCAUGGUGCCAAAUAAUGGAAUUCAUUGAACCAACUCAUGCAAAAGUAAUUUGGGACUUGAUGGAACUCCUACAUAAGAAAAUUUUUCAAAACUCUUCCUUGCUGCCACUUUUCACUCAAUCAUCGACCCUUUAAAUUUAAAAUUCGUUUCAGCAACUUCAGAAUAUUUUUAAAAAGUUUCUGAAACUUGUAUGAUUUUCCUCAGCUCUUGAACUUGAAUUUAAAAUUUCAUUUGAGUAAGAAAUAAAUUAUGGAAUUGAAGAUAUAAAUGAGUUUGUAGGAGGGCUAUGUUUUCACCUAGUUCUGAACACCCAAAAUAUUUUUGCAAAAAUAAAAUAACAGAUAACUUUUUAAAUUUGAUUUGAUAUUUUUUUUUAAUUCUAUACUUCUUGAAAUUGAUCUUAGAUGUAUAAAAUAUUAAAAAAUAUGUCUUUUUGAGGGUGAUAUGAUUUUUUAAAGUCGUACCUACUGUACAUGAUGGAUUCUGGACGUCUGAUUAGUUAGAACGUUUUAAAAAUACUUUUGAGUGCUACCAGACCCUGGAUUCAUUUUUUUGUGAUAUAGACACUUUUAAUGAUGUAGGUGAUUUUUUGUAUGAUUUUAUGUGAUCUCUUAUUGUUUUUUAAAAGAUUUGAUUAUGCAUGUCACUAUUGUUUUUACCUAAUCUGGACCUUCUGGAACUUUUGGGUGUCUUUGCUGCUAUUUGUCAUUUGAAUGAGUGUUUGGCUUUUAGUAUCUUGUUCUAGAUGUGUAGGAGUUGUUUCCUAAAAAAUUUUGUAAUUAAAUCCCACUCCAAAACAUUUUUUUCGAAAUUAUUUUGUGAUGCUCCCUUUUCUAAUUGCAUGCUGAUGAUCUUGUACUUUGCUUGAAAUUGUUAUUUAUUUUUAGUCAUUUGACUUAUCUUGGCUCAAUUUUGGCUUUGGUGCUGUAUAUUAGUCAUAAUAAAGAUGUUAUAUAAUUUAUACUUGUCCUAACCACCAUAGCAUUUUUGAAUGAAUCUUAUAAAUUAUGCAUGCUAUCUAGGUAUGCUCUCUAUCACUCACUAUUCAGAAUUUUAUGAACAUGCAUGUUGUUGUGAGUCAUAUCUAUAUUUGAUUCCAUCCAUGGGUGCCUAGAUCUCUAUUCGAUUUGCUCUGAUAAAAUACAUGUCGUGUGUUAUAUUUCUGUGCUAACUUUAAUGUCUUAUGAUAGCACUUGAGCGGCAGUCCAGAUACACAUCCUAACCUUCCUUUGCGAUUGUGAUUUGAUUUCUUUUUUAGCAUGCUAGUUUCAAAAUCACCUUAACCUACAUAGGUACCUUCAAUUAAUUGAUUAAUUGUCAUUUCUUCCUCGACUUAGCUAGUAGAGACCUCUUUAGGGCUUAGAGGGGUGCUACCUAUUUGAGGUACCUUCCCAAUAAGUAACCGAUCCCUGGUCUUAGACUUAGGUUUUCAAAGACACGUUUUUCCAAAACUAUGGAGUCACUUCUUUAGGGUUUUCUUUUUUGUUUUAUUUUCCCUUUUAAAAUAAAUUAAAAUAAGUGGCGACUCCAACUUUUCCAAAACUAAUUUUUCACCAAUAAAAAUGAGUCUUGCCAUUAAGUAGGGACAUACAUGAAAAAUGAAGGUCCACAAAUAUACAAUAUGAUAAAUCAAGGAAAAUUAUGUGUAUACAUAUUCUAGAGUUUUAGCACAUUUACGAUAGUUUUGCCACAUGUCUUUUAUAGAUUGCAUGGUGGUCAUUUCAACAUUCUAACCAAACUCUAUUUGUUUCAAUAGCUCACUAAAUACUUGAUGCUUGGUGCGUAACCUGUCAAUGAGUAGUUCAGAUUUCCUUUUCUUUUCAAAUAUUCAUGAAUUUUAGUCCAUAUUUUUUUGUUCAAAUACUCCAUUUCUCAUAUUCCCCUUGUUCACUUACUUUACCAUGACAUCCAUGAAUUUUUUUUUUCUAUGAUAGAACUCCAUAAAUUUGACUCAUCUACAUCAUUUAAUUUAAUAGAUGUUGUUAGUAUAGAUUGAUCCAUUGGAUGUUGCAAAAAAAAAUAAUAAUAAAUAAAAAAAAUUCAUGAUGCAUAUAAGAUAUUGCAUUAUAUUUAAGUAUAAUUUAUAUAAUGAAUUUUAUUACUAUAAGCCUAUAAAAUGAAUAAUGUUACCUGAUGAAAAUAAUAUGAACAAUAGCAUUGCCAUUAGUUAAUUCUUUUUUCAAUAGUUAAUACAAUAUUAUUUAUAAAAGAAAACGUUAAAGAAGUGCUAGAGGAAAGUAUUCAUUCCAUAGAGAUGACAUCAAAGAAACAAUUACAUGAUAAUAGGCAAAACGAGAGCAAAGGUCAGGUUGAAGUGAAACAACAAGCUCAAGUUCAGAGAUGAUGCAAUAGAUGAUAAUGUGUAUGAAUUCUCACACUAAUUAAUGGCUAAAUUAGUCAACAGAAUUGUGAGAGGUAUUGCAGAAUCACCUUGAGAUGGACUGGAAGAUCAACUAGGAAAAUCAGAAAGUCAAUUUGGAAAGAUGAGAUACUAAGCAAGUUAUUAGUCAUGCUUGAAACUUUUAAAAUAUUAUUGAGAUAUAAAGGCAUUGAAUAAGCAUAUAUUAGCAGAUAAAAUUUGAAUUUUUAAAUUGAUAGAGAUAGUCCUAAAAUGGCAAUUCUUUAGAACAUUCAACAAUGCAAAACAAUUUCUUGUCAUGAUUUACACACAUGCCACUUUUAUUCAAAAGCUUUUUUAUAUUGUAUAUAUUAUUAUCAAGCCAUGGGAAUAUAAGCAUCUAAUAUUUUAAUUAAGCCACUUCAUAGUAAGAGUAUAGUUUUAUAGUGUGGAAUAUAAAGAAUACAGAAACAAUAUUAACUUUUUUAUGAAAUAUUAAAAGUGAAAUUCUACAACAAGUUGGUUUUAUGUGUGUUGUUAAGUUGUUAAGCACUAAUUCUUUGAGUUCAAGUUAGACCCCAUCAACUACUAGUUUCUUGGGCUUGUUCUUAAGGUGUUCCUGAGCUUGGUUAAUUCUAUAGAGUUUCACAAACAUUUAGAAGAAAUUACAAUACUUAGGUAAACUUUGUCUAUGAUCCUCUAGCCCCUUAUAUGUUUUUAGCACAUGAUGAAUGAAGCUUUUUUACCUUGUCCAUUCAAUUGGAAUUUGGAAUUUAGUAUGGAGAACAUGUUUCUAUUAGGCAUAACUCGGUCGAAACGAUCCAAGAUAAUAGACACUUUUGAUAAGGUUGGAUGUUAUUAUCUCUUGUGUUGAUUUUAUAGGAUAUGGCCUUGCCAUUUUAAAAUCCCAAAUUGCUUAGUUGCCAUUUUAAGAUUUUCAAGUUUAUGAGAACACCAUCAUCCCUCAGGAAACAACCUUUAUUGGAUAUACUUUCCUAAGACUAGAAAUUGGCAGUAAUUUGGACCUCCAUAUUCUAAAUAACCUCUUUCAAAUAAGAUUAAAAUUCAUGAUAAAACUUAAACCCAAAACAGAGGCUUUAAGGUAUAUUAAUUAUUAGAAUUUCAAGAGAAAUUGUGAUAAUGUUAUCAACAUUAUUAACGUUUAAAUUGUUAUCAACAACUCUCUCCAUGUCAUCUUAAAAUAUAAUGACCAACAACAGUACAAACAGAACACAAAUUCAGAUCUAGGCAUUUUAAAAGCUUGCACAAUCUUUGUCACCAAUCUUGCUAUAUUGCAAGGAACUUUCCAAUCCUAAGUACAAUCAUUUGUCACAGAAUGACUAACAUAUGAUAUGAUUGACUAAAGCACAAACAACCUUAUUGGCUUUUCUUAAAACAUGACAACACCCAACAACUUCAAAGCUCUUAAAAUCUCAUUAACAUCACAUAUGAGGAAAAAAAAAAACCCUGAAUAUAGUUAGGGUGUCAAUAUUUUGUUUUUUUUUUUAAUAUCAAUAAACAUAUUGGUAUUCAUUCAAUAGAUCAAGUUCCAUAGGUUACUAGCAUUUCCUUCCACCCACUCCUCUUAGUUACAAAUAAGCCUAGAAUCAACCGAAAAGGAAAAUCCCCAAAUCAUAUGGGUUCAAAAAUUAAACCAGGUGCUGAAAAUUAAGCAUUUCAAUCAAAUAAAAUAACACAAUAAUUUCAAUCAAACGGAGACAUACAAUCUAUUUCAAUAAAAUAGAAUCCAAAUAACCAAAACCCAUAUCACAUCUUACCUAAAUAUCAAAGAAACAUUCCUUCAAAGUCUAAAAAAUCAUAUUCCUCUUACAUUACAAACAAAAAUACAAUGUUUAGUAAGUUGAUGUCUCUUUAGACUCUUACUCUUUCUGGUUGUUCAGAACUGAAGAAAUUGGAAAAUGACAUGGGGAACCUACAAUGUUUAGUAAAGCUCAAAGCAAAUGGAAGUGGU